GUCACCAUGGUGCGAAUGAAUGUUCUGGCAGAUGCUCUCAAGAGCAUCAACAACGCGGAGAAGAGGGGCAAACGCCAGGUCCUCAUCAGGCCGUGUUCCAAAGUCAUCGUUCGGUUCCUAACUGUGAUGAUGAAGCAUGGCUACAUUGGUGAAUUCGAGAUCAUUGAUGAUCACAGAGCUGGGAAGAUUGUUGUGAACCUCACAGGAAGGUUGAACAAGGUACGUAAGACUCAUGAAAGAGACAUGUCUUGAUUCUCAAAUUGCAGCUGUCUGUAACUUAACGAGUUGUUGACAUCCGUGCUCCACAUCCCCAAUUUAAGGAAUUUGGCUAAGGUUAUGCUUUUUUAAUGCACAUUUCACUUGUUUUCUUUGGUUACUUGGCUCAAGUUACUGGUUUUGUGCAGGGAUAGAGCUAAACUCUGCUAACACGGGGAAUUAACUUGAUAGUUGACUACUGAUGUCAGUGGCUCGAACUUUGGCUUACCAUGGCUCAGUACAUAAAUAACAAUCUUGUAAUGGUGGUAUGCAAGGUCUGUUAUAUUUUCAAGAUGGGGUCUCAUUAAGUAGAGAGGUUGGCUUUGAACUCUGAGGUCAAUACUUCUGUCAAGUUGCUGAAUCAAAGGUAUACGAUGCACACGUUCAAUGGUGUGAUGGUUUUUAAUAAAACUUAGUCUUUUGAGUAAAUGGCUAAGCAGUAGAGGGUUCAUGGGCCUGGGUUUGUUGCUGUAGGUUGUAGCUGUCUGAAAUCUAGGCUGCCUGUCAGUUUUAAUUGUCAUCAACAUAGCUAAAUAUACUAUCUCAUUCCUGUCCUU
rnacentral:lncRNA from 1 species